AGGUGAGCAUGCGUGUAAUAGUAGGUAGAAGCGGCAGGGGGUGUGUUUCGACUUAGGAGGAGCUCACGAUAUUCAUCGUGGAGAAGAGUGUGGAAGAAGGGAUAGGUAGAAUGGCUAGCUUCUUGGUUAGCAGCUCGCUGUAGUUACCGAAGAGACAGCUACUCGCGCCCCACCUGCGGCUUCGUCUUGUUCGACAAACUCUUCCGCAACCGCCACGUGCUGUCCCUGUGUGGGCUGGCGACCGUGUUGUAGCGGGCACGACAGCCCCCGCCGUUCAGUCGCCUGCUACAGUCCGCGAUGAUGCUCGACGAGCAGGUGCUGUAGCGGGCCUAGCUCCGGUCGUUCCACGGAAAGGGGCGGAUGGCAGGUGGUACGGGGCCGAGGCCGGUGUUGCCGUCGAUGCUCCGGCUGUCCAACUUCGUGAACUUCUAGAUCGAUCCGCCAUUAGACCAUUACCCGUUCCCUACUAUGUGUGAUGUGUCUACCUGACUUGCUUCUUCGUACACGCACGUACCCCCAUGGAACAUUAUGAGUAUUCUCACACCUACCACAGGUACUGAGGUACAGUUACAUAUGUACGUGCUGAUCGCCCGUCUUUUCAGCCGGCCAAUACGUCUACGUACGUACAAGUAUUAUGAGAUCACCUAUCACCAGAUAUUCAUACAUGCACUCUAGCUGAACAGAGGAAUGAGUGUACCCAAAUUGAAUAGAGCAUACAUAAGAUUACAUGUUAUAAUUAUAAUAGGAAUAUAAUAACAGACGUGUACAUUGGUAUACAGGU
rnacentral:rRNA from 1 species